AAGUCGUAACAAGGUUUCCGUAGGUGAACCUGCGGAAGGAUCAUUAAAAAUAUAUAACUGGGAGUUCGUUUUCCGUUCUCCUGGGAUAUUUGUAUUCAAAUUUCCACUCUUUAUAAAUAUAACAAUUAUAAAACAAAAUAAAAAAUGAAAACUUUCAACAACGGAUCUCUUGGUUCUC
rnacentral:misc_RNA from 1 species